GUCUACUGCUAAGCGGUGAAACGACUUUCCAGUCGAGCUCGAGUAGCCAUUGCCAAUCUCAAAAAAAAAAAUGAAAUCCGCGCGUACUGCUGUACUUACUGGAGCUCCCAUCGGAACACACCCACAGCUGGUAUAAUCCUGGCAUGUGUUUUACACUGAGUAAACGCAGCUAAUGUCUUUCUUUGCAUUGUAUAAAAACAGCUGAUAUUUUGCAAAAGUGUUUUGAAACUAAUCUAAGUAGUGUUCGUAUUGUUUUUGGGGUUAUAGCUAAUAACUUAUAACCCCAAAAAGAAAACAAAGUGAAGUGUUUGUCUAAAACCAGAGUAGUGAAAUUUUUUAUAAAAGUGUAAAGCUCAGUGAGUUUGAAAAUAUAUGUGAUCAUCGAGAUACCAAGGGCAGGUUUGCGUGUACCCAUUAAGACAAGAAGUACUCUCGAGGAAGAAUCAAGAAGAGGCAAAGAAGAUUUAUAGGAGUAACGAGUGAGGAUGAACCUGCCAACAAGUCAAUACUUCAAGUUUGUCAAAGAAGAUACAAACUCCAACAGUGGAAGAUUUCUCUGAGAUCAGGAAUAGAUUGAUGGAUAUCAACAUUCUAUUUCCUGUGCUCAAUGAAAUUUUUAUUCGCAACCAAUGCCAUGGCAAAGUUCAACUUGGCGAAACCAAAACUUAGGGAUUAUAAUUCAAAAUUGAAGUUAUGUGUAUUAAGUGUGAUCAGCUGACAGCUUUUAACUCAUGCAGAAAAGUUGGCAUCAAGAACCAUGCUUGGGCGAACAACAGAAGAGCAAUAGUUACAUUUCGUGCUCUUGGACUUGGACACGCUGGUCAUCAUCUAUUUUGUGGGUUGAUCAAUUACUUAAUACCCAUGGCUCAGUGUAAAUGUGAUGCAAUAAGCGAAUAAUUUAGUGAAGUGUGCUCGAUAAAAACUGCAGUGAUGGAAGAAAAAGCUGCUACAGAGAUUGGAACACCCGGACUAAACAUUUUGAAAUUUGGAGGUUAGACUGAUUAUUUUCUGCAGUUUUACUUGAAGAUUAAACACAGUGACCAAAAGAAAAGAUGAGUAUAAAGUGUUAUUACUAUCAAGGAUAAAAUAACCUUUUUAUUACAUUUUUCUGAAAAUUCAUGAAAUUACUUUUUCUGUUUGCGGGUAUGAAAAGCCGUAAAGAGCCCAAAGAUAUAAGUUAAUACAUCUCAUAAUUGUUGAGAGUCGAGGUCUAUGUAUGUGAAACAUAGCAAACUUGGUUCGAAAAGAAUUGCUCACUGUCCGUAGGAUUCCAAGUGAACACAUGGUUCUUUUGGGCUCAAACUCUCAAGGAGGUUACUUUGUACACCUGUAGUUCUAGUAUGAAUGCAGGGAUUUUGAUUUAAAUGUUUAGAAAUUGUUUUAUAUACAAAUAGGUGCCAGAAUAAGCGAAAAAAAGAAAAAAAAUGCAGUUUUUCAGCGCCAAAAUCAUUUCUAUACAUUUAAAUUAAAAUCCCUGCAUUCAUACCAAAACUACAGGUGUACAAAGUAUCCUCCUUGAGUUUGAGCCUAAAAGAACCAUGCGUUCACUUGGAAUCUUACGGACAGUGAAAAAAUUCACAAAUCCUUGCACUGAGUGCCAUAAUGGGCCAGCAGGGAUAAUUAAGGUUUUAGCACAGUAAAGUAAAAGGGUUUAAAGGUGUUGUGUCCCCUUAAAGUAAAAGGUUUCUUCCUAAAAAAAUGCAUGGUGACUUGCCAUAACAUUUCUACUAGCCCUCUGAUUGGCUAUGAGUUUUUGCCUGUGAUCUCUACAAAUGUAUGAAUUUCUAACCUCAAAAAGUAUAAAUAAAAAAAGUGUAAAUAGUAGCCCGAUAA